UUAAUUGUCAAAUGCUACCUAUUCUGUUACUCUCAGGAGAUUCUGGCUGCUUCAGGCUGCUCUGUGUUCAAAGGAUUUCCUAGACUCAGAGCUACGGAUGACGGAAAAUCACAAUGCUGAUCCCUGCCCCCCACAAUGAUUUGGAUGCCUCUGGUUACAGAACGCUUAAAUGGCCAUGGGAAGGAAGCACAAACAGUGAGGUGGCAACUCAGAGCCUCAGUGACACGGAGACCGAGAAUGACUUCUCUAUCCUUCUCCUGGCUUUGUCCUUUGCCUCCUAAGUGACUGCCGCAGACUGGAGCAUCCUUUCCUCUCACAGCCUCCAAGGGAAGAAGGCAGAUUCUGCUCAGCUAACAGCAAGCUCCGACAAAUGUUUCUUGAAAGGAUGGAAGGGAAAGAAGAAGGACUGGGCAGGAAGAGAACCAAAGGGGUGAAUGGAACUUCAGAACUUGGGCUCGAUUUCCAGGCAGGACAAACAGCCGCGCAGACGACUGAGUGGGAGUGAUGAGUCUGCAGUCACCAGAAGAACCAGAAGCUUAGUUCUGUCUGCAAAGAGAAGCCCAGUGUGUCUGUAGCUGUCAGAGCCUGGUGCAGGCCUGUGCGGUGGAUACAAUAGAAGUUAGUGUCGGGUGGGGUCUUUACAGGUCCCAUGAGUUCAAUCUUCCCCCAAGGAAAUCACAAGCCAGGGAAUGUCUUUGUCUCCUGUCUUGCCCUUCUCCAAAGCUGUCCUGAUGCCCAGAGAACCACGCUUGGUGUGCUGCAGCCCUUACUUGGUUCUUUAUUCCUUCCCCAGACCCUUCCCCUCAGCAGGAGAGCCCCCACCCUACGAAGGAUGCCCACCAUCUCUGCCCUACAGCCCCUUCAGUGCCCCUGCUCUGUGUCUUCGGUUGUAGCUACCAGGCGUCUGGACAAACAAGCACCAGUCUGUUCCCCUGUGUGAGCCUUGCAUCCACCCAGGAGCCGUCCCUGUGCUGCCGAAGGCAGGCGGGGAAGAAGCAGAACCACUCUGACUGGUCGGCCUCACCCAACAUUCAUUCUCUCACACCUACAAGGACACGGGGAGUCUGGCUGUCCUGCUGAUUCAGCCCCUCCAGCGCCACGCCCCCACUCCCGGCUGAACACUUUGCUUCCACCAUUCUCAGGAGAUGGUCUCCUGCCUCAGGCUCUGGCUUCCCAACAUUGUUGUAGGGGUCCAUGGGUCUGCCACCUACCUCCUGCUCUCUCCUUCCCUGUGUGUAAACAGUCCUGGAGAAGCUGCCUUGCCCAGCUGCAGGGCCUGGGUCAGGUUCAGCAUUGCCCUCUGGUCAGUUUCUCCCCUGCUCUGACUUAAACCCACCUGCAUCAAGCCCCACCCCCAGAGCCCUCAACACUCAUCACCAGCAUCCUCCGUGGUAAUAACUCCAGUGUGUGGUGUGUGUGUGUGUGUGUGUGUGUGUGUGAACACAUGUGGACGCACACCAUAGUACACGUGUGGAGAUCA